GUGGCAUCGCCGCCUUUUGCUAAGAUCAUGUAGUAUCUAAUUCUUAUCAGUUUACGUCUGAUACUGCCCCGUCUAGGACCAUAUAUUAAAUUGAUUUUGAACAGGGAGAUGGAAUAGGGCUUGUUCAAUUCACCCACGCGAUCUACCUGGUAUUGCAGUAUUCUCCAGGGAGCGUGCACUUUCU